AAGCAAGACUAGAAUAGAACAGAGAGCAGAGUAAGAAAAUGAUAGCUAAAAUACAGAAAAUCCAAAGCAGAAGGUUAAACAGAGAAAACUUAGAACAAAUGAGCCACAACCGACUCUAGAUGUCAGUGUUGUGCCAAAUAACAGCACCAGGGGCGGGGUGGGCAAGGCGCCGUUCUUGACAGUGCCUUGGCAAUACUGAUUUUUAACCAAUGUAGGAGGGAAAUAUCAGAUUUGGGGCUGAGUACAGCAAAGAUGUUUAUGGAAUUCAUUACCAUCUACCUAAGAAAAUAUGUUAUGGAUUGUUCUUUGAAAGCUACUUUGGUAUAAAAAAAUCUAUUUAAACUACCCACAAGUAUGUGUUCAUUAUUAAACAUGAAUUACAACUUAUUAUGCUUAUUUCAUUAAAAUAAACACUUCAAUGAAA